UACGUAGGGUGCAAGCGUUAAUCGGAAUUACUGGGCGUAAAGCGUGCGCAGGCGGCUUUGCAAGACAGAUGUGAAAUCCCUCGGCUUAACCGGGGAACUGCGUCUGAUACUGGAUGGCUUGAGGUUGGGAGAGGGAUGCGGAAUUCCAGGUGUAGCGGUGAAAUGCGUAGAUAUCUGGAGGAACACCGGUGGCGAAGGCGGCAUCCUGGACCAAUUCUGACGCUGAGGAGCGAAAGCCAGGGGAGCAAACGGG
rnacentral:rRNA from 1 species